rnacentral:rRNA from 1 species
AUUGAACGCUGGCGGCAGGCCUAACACAUGCAAGUCGAACGAGCGGCGGACGGGUGAGUAAUGUCUGGGAAACUGCCUGAUGGAGGGGGAUAACUACUGGAAACGGUAGCUAAUACCGCAUACCAUCAGAUGUGCCCAGAUGGGAUUGGCUAGUAGGUGGGGUAAGGGCUCACCUAGGCGACGAUCCCUAGCUGGUCUGAGAGGAUGACCAGCCACACGGGAACUGAGACACGGUCAAGACUCCUACGGGAGGCAGCAGUGGGGAAUAUGGCACAAUGGGCGCAAGCCUGAUGCAGCCAUGCCGCGUGUAUGAAGAAGGCCUUCGGGUUGUAAAGUACUUUAAGCGGGGAGGCGUUACCCGCAGAAGAAGCACCGGCUAACUCCGUGCCAGCAGCCGCGGUAAUUC